AUUGAACGCUGGCGGCAGGCCUAACACAUGCAAGUCGAGCGGAUGAGGAGAGCUUGCUCUCUGAUUCAGCGGCGGACGGGUGAGUAAUGCCUAGGAAUCUGCCUAUUAGUGGGGGACAACGUUUCGAAAGGAACGCUAAUACCGCAUACGUCCUACGGGAGAAAGCAGGGGACCUUCGGGCCUUGCGCUAAUAGAUGAGCCUAGGUCGGAUUAGCUAGUUGGUGAGGUAAUGGCUCACCAAGGCGACGAUCCGUAACUGGUCUGAGAGGAUGAUCAGUCACACUGGAACUGAGACACGGUCCAGACUCCUACGGGAGGCAGCAGUGGGGAAUAUUGGACAAUGGGCGAAAGCCUGAUCCAGCCAUGCCGCGUGUGUGAAGAAGGUCUUCGGAUUGUAAAGCACUUUAAGUUGGGAGGAAGGGCAUUAACCUAAUACGUUAGUGUUUUGACGUUACCGACAGAAUAAGCACCGGCUAACUUCGUGCCAGCAGCCGCGGUAAUACGAGGGGUGCAAGCGUUAAUCGGAAUUACUGGGCGUAAAGCGCGCGUAGGUGGUUUGUUAAGUUGGAUGUGAAAGCCCCGGGCUCAACCUGGGAACUGCAUCCAAAACUGGCAAGCUAGAGUAUGGCAGAGGGUGGUGGAAUUUCCUGUGUAGCGGUGAAAUGCGUAGAUAUAGGAAGGAACACCAGUGGCGAAGGCGACCACCUGGGCUAAUACUGACACUGAGGUGCGAAAGCGUGGGGAGCAAACA
rnacentral:rRNA from 1 species